UGGGGAAUAUUGGGCAAUGGGCGCAAGCCUGACCCAGCGACGCCGCGUGGGUGAUGAAGGCCUUCGGGUUGUAAAGCCCUGUCAUGUGGAAAGAACAGUCCCGUGGUGAAUAUCCACGGGAUUUGACGGUACCACAGGAGGAAGCACCGGCUAACUCCGUGCCAGCAGCCGCGGUAAUACGGAGGGUGCAAGCGUUGUUAGGAAUUAUUGGGCAUAAAGGGCGCGUAGGUGGUUGUGAAAGUCAGAUGUGAAAUCCUUCGGCUCAACGGAAGAACUGCAUCUGAAACUGCAUAACUUGAGUACAGGAGAGGGACACGGAAUUCCCGGUGUAGAGGUGAAAUUCGUAGAUAUCGGGAGGAACACCAGGGGCGAAGGCGGUUUCCUGGCCUGAUACUGACGCUGAGGCGCGAAAGCGUGGGGAGCAAACA
rnacentral:rRNA from 1 species